AACAAGUUGAUUCCCAUAAGCAUUUCUCACUGUUCCCCUAGGCAAACGUUCGGUUACCCAAGUGUGAUGCACGGUACAUUCGGACAAGCUCAGAUAUUAUAUGCCGGCCGUGCACCACACAUGAAAAACAUAAGUCUUCGAGUUACGGCACCGAAGAGAUCACAAAGCAUACAUUCGAAGAAAUCGCUGGAGACUUGACUGAGUGCAGCUGAUCUCAGUCCCUCAUAACGUAAGCACCCC
rnacentral:lncRNA from 1 species